GGGUCCGCCUGCAAAACCUGUGGAAUUCCGGAGGGUUGAGAGCAUCUCCACCCAAUGAAUGCUUUCAAGUCGCUCAGGAAGCGAUUGGAGGCUUGGGUCCCUCCAUUAGCUCUUCGUUAGCCCUUAAGCUCAUACUGCAGAUGCCUUCGGCAGUGCGUGGUCGGUGUUGGCCAGGAUAUCAGCCCUGUGGCGUAUCUCGCUGUGUGACACCCAGUUGUAGCACGCUGGCUGUUACACGUUGCUGCCAUCGUAUCAGUGGUAGUCAUCCCGUGGUCUGAACCGCCCUCUGUCACCACGCUCACACCUCCGUCCUCAUCCCCUUUUGGAGUUGUCUCCUUUUGGAGCUGCUAUGUGCCUGAGAUCUGUGGAUUUUGGGAGGUAAAUUCAUGUUGGCUGUGAGUACCUGCUGUGGCAACUGGAUCCUGCUGACAGGCUCAGAAAUCCUCACCUUUGCUGCCCAAAGGCUUACAAAUAUCACAGCACGUGGUGGGAGAUGUGUGCCUAUUCACGUUUUGGGUUUUUGGGUGUAUUCCUAUCAUCAGAUUUGGAUGUUGUUGCCUGUCACCUGAAAGAUGUAGGGCUAGCAUAAAAGGUCUAAUCACAUGGAGGCGUAAAACUUUUUUUUAUCAGUAGCAUGGCAUGCAGAACUAACAGGCAGCUCUCCAGCCUGUAUGAAAUGUGUGCUGAGUGCAGCUGUCUGGGAAUUUGUAAUUACAUUAUAAUUCUGUAGUGGAACUUAAAUACUGUGAUUACCAUAUUAAAUAGGGGUGGUGAUACUUUGCCACCUCUGAGGGUUGAUGGUGUUUGUUUACGUAAAAGUUGCUUGGGGCUUGAAUCAUCAGCUGCUCUUCUUCCAUAGCUAAAGUUGCUGUUUUGACUGUAGUUUUUCUGUUAUCGGUUUAUAUAAAAUCACAAUAUAAAAAUGUUUUUACAAUAUGGCGAACUAUUAUGCUGUCACAAAGGAAACAUUUACACUUCUGUUAAAAAAGCAAAGCUAUUUAAAUAGUCUUCAAAUAUUCAAUACUUCCAUGAAAGACAAUUUUGAGAAGUCUAAAUAGCUUGCGUGAAUCCCAUUGCCUAGGAAGUUACCUCUUGAGCACUGUGAGCAGUGCAUUAACGUUGGACACUAAAGAACAGAAUUGCAGAAGCUGAAAAUUCCCUUGUGGAGUUACAAUCUCUAAGCAGAGCUGCUUGGCAUGGAGGCCUGGAGACCUAGAACGUUGCUCGAGGGUUCAGCGUCAGCAUUUACUGACAUCUGACUGUGGUGAGCCAGACUGAAGUUUUGAGGCAUAGAAAAUGAAAGCUCUGGUUGAAGGUGCAAAAAUCAGAAAGCAAAUUUAGAAAGUGUGUGAAAACUUGAAUGCAAAUUUCAAGCAAGAAAAUAAAAGCUGAGAAGGACUGCAACAGACUAAAGAACACCUGUCAGAGAAGGAAGAAGACCAGACGCGGUUCUUUCUGUUAUAUGGGAAGGGCCAAUUUAGAGGAAACCUGUGAAUCCUAGAAUUUUCCUGCUCUAACUGAAUAUCAAUGCUACAGCAAAAAAAAAAGACUUCAGGUAACUGUAUGAAUGAGCAGUGUAAGGGAAGUGAAGUCAAGAGAUUGGAUCACCUCUCUGACAGUGCUGCUUUAAUUUAAUCCAAGCCAAAGGUACAGUUUUGCAUUGAAUGUUGCAUCUGCUGUACCCGCAGGAAGGAAGCUUACAGUUAAGGAACAAGGUAUCUUUUAAUCCGGUUUAAUGCAGUCUUUAAAGUUUUUUCCACUAUUGUGUGCAAAUGAGUGGCACAAAGUGCAUGCAUGCAUACAACAACUUGUACAGCACCGGUGUAUGUAAUGCUGAUGGAGUAAUUCUGAACUCUAGGCCUCAAAUUUCCUUAUAAAGCUAUUAAAGCGGAUUGAAAUCAGC